rnacentral:rRNA from 1 species
UGGGCGUAAAGAGCUCGUAGGUGGUUUGUUGCGUCGUCUGUGAAAUUCCGGGGCUUAACUUCGGGGUGGCAGGCGAUACGGGCAUAACUAGAGUGCUGUAGGGGAGACUGGAAUUCCUGGUGUAGCGGUGGAAUGCGCAGAUAUCAGGAGGAACACCGAUGGCGAAGGCAGGUCUCUGGGCAGUAACUGACGCUGAGGAGCGAAAGCAUGGGGAGCGAACAGGAUUAGAUACCCUGGUAGUCCAUGCUGUAAACGGUGGGCGUUAGGUGUGGGGACCGGUUUGGUUUCUGUGCCGUAGCUAACGCAUUAAGCGCCCCGCCUGGGGAGUACGGCCGCAAGGCUAAAACUCAAAGGAAUUGACGGGGGCCCGCACAAGCGGCGGAGCAUGUGGAUUAAUUCGAUGCAACGCGAAGAACCUUACCUGGGUUUGACAUGCACCAGACGGUUGUAGAGAUACGUACCUCCCUUUGUGGUUGGUGUGCAGGUGGUGCAUGGUUGUCGUCAGCUCGUGUCGUGAGAUGUUGGGUUAAGUCCCGCAACGAGCGCAACCCUUGUCUUAUGUUGCCAGCACUUUGGGUGGGGACUCAUGAGAGACUGCCGGGGUUAACUCGGAGGAAGGUGGGGAUGACGUCAAAUCAUCAUGCCCUUUAUGCCCAGGGCUUCACACAUGCUACAAUGGUUAGUACAACGCGCGGCAAACCUGUGAGGGUGAGCGAAUCGCUGAAAGCUAAUCUCAGUUCGGAUUGGGG